UGGAAACACAACAUCAGCAAGCCCGAGGUACUCUGUGCUUGGUAACAUUUCAGCCUCAGAGUCAUUGGUGCGCAGCAGUUUACCAUCCGUGACGAAUCCUCUGAUCGGCUUCAUGACAUUCUCUGACACACCUGUUACUGGCAUUUUCAUUGGUAUUUUUGGCUUUGGGACAGAAGCAGCACUGGGACUUUUUGGCAAAUCAACGGUUCAGACUAUGGUCAAUGGUGCCAUGAUGGAUACAUUGGUCGGUAUUGGCUCCUCUUAUUCAUACUUUGACAUCAGCGGAUGCAGACAGU